rnacentral:rRNA from 1 species
UGUCCAGACUCCUACGGGAGGCAGCAGUGAGGAAUAUUGGUCAAUGGGCUUACGCCUGAACCAGCCAAGUCGCGUGAGGGAAGACUGCCCUAUGGGUUGUAAACCUCUUUUGUCAGGGAGCAACGCCGGCUACGUGUAGCCGGACUGAGAGUACCUGAAGAAAAAGCAUCGGCUAACUCCGUGCCAGCAGCCGCGGUAAUACGGAGGAUGCGAGCGUUAUCCGGAUUUAUUGGGUUUAAAGGGUGCGUAGGCGGGUUAUCAAGUCAGGAGUAAAAUCGUUGAGCUCAACUCCAUCCAGCCGUUGAAACUAAUGAUCUUGAGUGGGCGAGAAGUAUGCGGAAUGCGUGGUGUAGCGGUGAAAUGCAUAGAUAUUACGCAGAA